GGUCAAGUUAUUAAGGGUGCAGGGCGGAUGCCUUGGCACUAGGAGCCGAUGAAGGACGUGAUAAGCUGCGAUAAGCUUCGGGGAGUUGCACGUAAACUUUGAUCCGAAGAUUUCCGAAUGAGGAAACUCACUUAGAGUAAUGUCUAAGUAUCAUUAAGUGAAUACAUAGCUUAAUGAGGGGAACUCAGGGAACUGAAACAUCUAAGUACCUGAAGGAAGAGAAAGAAAUUCGAUUCCGUAAGUAGCGGCGAGCGAACGCGGAUUAGCCCAAACCAAUAAAGUUUUCUUUAUUGGGGUUGCGGACAUAUCAUAACGAAGAGGUAUCGUAAUUGAAGAGGUUUGGAAAGACCCACCACAGAAGGUAAUAGUCCUGUAUGUUAAACGAGAAGACUUUAGAUAUGAUCCAGAGUACCACGGGACACGUGAAACCCUGUGGGAAGCAGGAGGGACCACCCUCCAAGGCUAAAUACUACCUAGUGACCGAUAGCGUAUAGUACCGUGAGGGAAAGGUGAAAAGAACCCCGGGAGGGGAGUGAAAUAGAACCUGAAACCCUGCACUUACAAGCUGUGGAAGC
rnacentral:rRNA from 1 species